rnacentral:rRNA from 1 species
UACGGGGUGCAGCAGCCGCGCAAACUUUGCAAUACACGAAAGUGUGACAGGGCUAUCCCGAGUGCCGUCCGCUGAGGAUGGCUUUUACCCAGUCUAGAACGCUGGGGGAAUAAGGAGAGGGCAAGUCUGGUGUCAGCCGCCGCGGUAA